CUACGGGUGGCACCAGUGGGGAAUAUUGGACAAUGGGCGCAAGCCUGAUGCAGCCAUGCCGCGUGUAUGAAGAAGGCCUUCGGGUUGUAAAGUACUUUCAGCGGGGAGGAAGGGAGUAAAGUUAAUACCUUUGCUCAUUGACGUUACCCGCAGAAGAAGCACCGGCUAACUCCGUGCCAGCAGCCGCGGUAAUACGGAGGGUGCAAGCGUUAAUCGGAACUACUGGGCGUAAAGCGCCGCAGGCGGUUUGUUAAGUCAGAUGUGAAAUCCCCGGGCUCAACCUGGGAACUGCAUCUGUAACUGCCAGGUUGAGGUCUAGAGAAGGGGGGAGAAAUUCAGGGGGAGCGGUGAAAUGCCGUGGUGUUCGGGAGAAAACCGGUUGCGAAGGCCGCCCCCUUGAACGAAAAUGACGGGUAGGGUCGAAAGCGUGGGGAGCAAACAGGAUUAGAUACCCGGGUAGUC
rnacentral:rRNA from 1 species